UACAGAGGUCUCAAGCGUUGUUCGGAUUCAUUGGGCGUAAAGGGUGCGUAGGCGGCGCGGUAAGUCGGGUGUGAAAUCUCGGAGCUUAACUCCGAAACUGCAUUCGAUACUGCCGUGCUUGAGGACUGGAGAGGAGACUGGAAUUUACGGUGUAGCGGUGAAAUGCGUAGAUAUCGUAAGGAAGACCAGUGGCGAAGGCGAGUCUCUGGACAGUUGCUGACACUGAGGCACGAAGGCUAGGGGAGCAAACGGG
rnacentral:rRNA from 1 species